rnacentral:rRNA from 1 species
AGUGGAUGGGGAGCAACCUAGUUGUGCGUGUGUAAAGGUAGUGCCAAGAAAAGCGAUGAUCAUGUUGAAAAUCAAUUCCCGGUACCCGAAACCGACACAGGUGGGCAAGUAGAGAAUACUAAGGGGCGCGAGGUAACUCUCUCCAAGGAACUCGGCAAAAUGACCCCGUAACUUAGGGAGAAGGGGUGCCACCGAGAGGUGGUCGCAGUGAAGAGGCCCAGGCGACUGUUUAGCAAAAACAUAGGUCUCUGCAAACUCGAAAGAGGAGGUAUAGGGGCUGACGCCUGCCCAGUGCCGGAAGGUUAAAGAAGUUGGUCAGUUUUAGGAUGAAGCUAGCGACUGAAGCCCCGGUGAACGGCGGCCGUAACUAUAACGGUCCUAAGGUAGCGAAAUUCCUUGUCGGGUAAGUUCCGACCCGCACGAAAGGCGUAACGAUCUGGGCGCUGUCUCGGAGAGAGGCUCGGCGAAAUAGGAUUGUCUGUGAAGAUACGGACUACCUGCAUUUGGACAGAAAGACCCUAUGAAGCUUUACUAUAGCUUGGAAUUGUGUUCGGGCUUCCUGUGCGCAGGAUAGGUGGGAGGCGUAGAAGGUAUUCUUGUGGGGAUACUGGAGCCAACGGUGAGAUACCACUCUCAGGAGGCUAGAAUUCUAACUUAAUUAAGGACAGUUUCAGGUGGGUAGUUUGACUGGGGCGGUCGCCUCCAAAAAGGUAACGGAGGCGUACAAAGGUUCCCUCAGACUGGUUGGAAAUCAGUCGAAGAGUGCAAAGGCAGAAGGGAGCUUGACUGCGAGAAGUACAGUUCGAGCAGGGUGGAAACACGGUCUUAGUGAUCCGACGGUGCUGUGUGGAAGGGCCGUCGCUCAACGGAUAAAAGUUACUCUAGGAUAACAGGCUGAUCUCCCCCAAGAGUUCACAUCGACGGGGAGGUUUGGCACCUCGAUGUCGGCUCAUCGCAACCUGGGGCGGAAGUACGUCCCAAGGGUUGGGCUGUUCGCCCAUUAAAGCGGUACGUGAGCUGGGUUCAGAACGUCGUGAGACAGUUCGGUCCAUAUCCGAUGUAGGCGUGAGAAUAUUGAGAGGAGCCUUCCUUAGUACGAGAGGACCGGGAAGGACGCACCGCUGGUGUACCUGUUAUGAUGCCAAUUGUAAACGCAGGGUAGCCAAGUGCGGAGAGGAUAACCGCUGAAAGCAUCUAAGUGGGAAGCCCACCUCAAGAUGAGUAUUCUGGUGUAAGGUCACGGGAAGACGACCCGUAAAUAGGCACGAGGUGGAAGUGCAGAGAUGUACGAAGCCGAAGUGUACUAAUAGACCGUCGGCUUGACC